CUUCUCCCUGGGGUGGCGAAUAAUGCUAGCUAUCAUAUCUGGUGUCUAUGGGACAUGGUGAGGUGCCGCUCCAGGACCCUUCUUCAGCAUCAGCCUGGAGAAUGAGAGCAGUAACCAGCCUUUGGAAUUCCGGCAAUUUUCUUCCCUGGGAUCCAUUGUCUCUGUCACGUGAAAAUGACAACAAUAUAUACCCAGGAGUGGAAUUGCUGGGUCAUAUGGUAGCUCUGUUUUUUUUAGUUUUUUGAGAAACCUUCAGCUUACAUCUUCACCAGCAGUGAACCACAGUUUCCUUUUCUCCAAAUCUUCACCAGCACUUGUUG